AUUUACAACUUCAGUAUGGAGGUUUGCGCAUCGUUACGGUAUUUCCAUCUUUUCGUCGUUAAUUAUUAUGCUGUAAAUUUUGGUUGGUUGUUUUUCCUUGAAUAUUCAUUGAUUAUAAACAGUAUUUCGUUGUUUAUUUCCUAAUUUUCCAGUUAUGGAUGAGCUAGCAGGAUACUAAACAAAUGGGAUACUAAAUCUCCAUCCUGUGGCAAUAUUAAGUUUAUUUUUG